rnacentral:tRNA from 1 species
ACCAUGAGCCACUAUCUUAGCUUGAUAGUGUUGGCGGCACAUUUCCGCCCCAAGAGGGUAAUAUGAUUGGCUCG